ACGGGAGUUAUGAUUUCCGGUUCUAUUUUAAAAACUCCUUUAUCUUCAAUUUUACCAUAAAAAAACAACUCUCGGUGAAUUAUUGUCCAUAAAAAUAAUAAUUGUUAUUCCUUUUUGCAAUAUCUUUUCUCUAUGGAGAAUGUCGGGUAUAAAAACUGGAGUUACAACCUCUCGAGUUCAGUAUAAUAAUUUUUUUUUAUCAUAAAAUCAUAAAUAAAUCAUGGAGAAAGUCGGCAUAUGGAUUUUGAUAUUGGCAGUUUUAUUUUUAUUCACUUUGGCGUCAGUGGACGCAGACGGGCCACCUUUAGCACCUAAAGGAAACCCAGGAGGUUGUAUCCUUUGUGAACACCCACCGCCAUUAAGUACAGGCAAUUGAAAUGACCUUCACAUAAAAAAUUAUCUAAUUAUGGAAGAUAAAAAUGGCCACUGUAUUGGGAGUCGUCGAUAUAAUUCAGUUAUCUUAAUUCCUAUUAUUGUUAUGACUGUGUAAUCAUUGAUAAAUAAAUGUUGAUAAUUGUCCCGAG